rnacentral:lncRNA from 1 species
GAAGAAGGCCUUUCCCCCAGAAAACAUGGAAGAAACAGGUAUGACUCUGAGUCUGGAAGGUAUAGUUUCCACGUGGAUGGAUGGGGUGAGGUGGUCAGGUUAACUUUAAUGAGCUAGUUGAAAGUCUGCCCAGAUAAGGCCUAAGCUUUGAAAUAGUAAAGUGUCCCUUUGUGAUUAUUUGGGGAUCUAGCUGGUCAGGGAGUAACUGCUGACAUCAAUUUCCAGGAUUAGUUAAUAGAUACAAAAUAUUAAUAAUUUGAAACAAAUUGCUAAUUAGUUAAUAGUGAUAAAAAUGUAUUAUUGUCAAGUCAGUGUUUUUAAAUAAUGUUUACAAUACAUUUAUAAAUAAUGUUGGAAUUAUUUUGUUUUAAUCCAAAUGAGUGUCUUGAAUGAUACUUUGUUAUAAUAUCAUAAUUGACUUUCUAAUUGAGAGAGUGACAUUUACAUAACCUUUACUAAUCAGAAGUGAAAGGACUUCCCCUGGAUGAUAAGGCCCCCCUUGAGAUUUCAAAACUACAAAAAUAAAAUCCCCAGGCCAGCUCCAUGGGUGCUCAGUUGAUCAAGUUCAUGUUUAUUGCCUGUCAACUUCAAAGGACAACUCUUGAAACCUCACCCAUCCUGACCUCUUUCAGAAGCUGAUAACAUGAAGCAAAAACAGCGUUUUCCAGCAACUCGGUUGCAAUGAAUUGUGCUUGGGAACAGACAGAUCCGGUUAGAAGUAACUGUACCCUAUAAUGUCACCCAGCAAGUUGUCCUGGGUCACCCCACUUGAGAAUUUCAGGUUAGCCUUUUUAAAGUUUCUAGUUCUAAGGAAAAUCACUCUUUUCAACGGAUGUCUCAUCAGAACAUAAAAUCACAACCUCAUUGUGAAAUAAGAUAGGCGUGUAUGUGUGUGUGAAUAAAUACUAUAAAGAGAGAUUUCAAAUAUCCUA